rnacentral:tRNA from 1 species
GUAAACAUAGUUUAACAAAAACCCUAUGCUGUGGACCUAGUAAUAAGCGCCUAAUGGCCCUUUGUUUACC